CGCGGGAUGGAGCAGUUUGGUAGCUCGUCGGGCUCAUAACCCGAAGGUCGUAGGUUCAAAUCCUGCUCCCGUAA
rnacentral:tRNA from 1 species